rnacentral:rRNA from 1 species
CCUACGGGUGGCAGCAGUAGGGAAUCUUCCACAAUGGGCGAAAGCCUGAUGGAGCAACGCCGCGUGGGUGAAGAAGGUCUUCGGAUCGUAAAACCCUGUUGUUAGAGAAGAAAGUGCGUGAGAGUAACUGUUCACGUUUCGACGGUAUCUAACCAGAAAGCCACGGCUAACUACGUGCCAGCAGCCGCGGUAAUACGUAGGUGGCAAGCGUUAUCCGGAUUUAUUGGGCGUAAAGGGAACGCGGGCGGUCUUUUAAGUCUGAUGGGAAAGCCUUCGGCUUAACCGGAGUAGUGCAUUGGAAACUGGGAGACUUGAGUGCACAAGAGGAAAGUGGAACUCCAUGUGUAGCGGUGAAAUGCGUAGAUAUAUGGAAGAACACCAGUGGCGAAAGCGGCUCUCUGGUCUGUAACUGACGCUGAGGUUCGAAAGCGUGGGUAGCAAACAGGAUUAGAUACCCCAGUAGUC